UCUUAGACCACAAGUCAUCCUUCCAUGGCACCCCUUUAGCUUCUCGCUUUACUCCUAUUAAAUCCUCCUCCCAAAUCUCCACCAUUUCCAUGUCCUUAACCCCUCCUUACGACCUGCAGUCCUUUAAAUUCCAACCCAUCCAAGAAUCCUAUGUCGCUCGUGAAAUGACACGCCGUUACAUGAUGGACAUGAUUACCUAUGCUGACACCGAUGUUAUCAUCGUCGGCGCCGGCUCUGCAGGUCUCUCCUGUGCUUACGAGAUUAGCAAAAACCCCAACAUCCGUGUCGCCAUAAUUGAACAGUCUGUUAGCCCCGGUGGAGGCGCAUGGCUCGGUGGCCAACUCUUUUCAGCCAUGGUUGUGCGGAAACCGGCUCACAGAUUCCUUGACGAGCUCGGCAUCCAGUACGAUGAACAAGAAGACUACGUAGUGAUCAAGCA
rnacentral:lncRNA from 1 species